rnacentral:lncRNA from 1 species
GAAUGCAGUGGUGUGAUCACAGCUCACUGUAGCCUUGACUUCCCAGGCUAAAGUUAUAAUCCUACCUCAGCCUCCAAAGUAGCCGGUAUCACAGGAUUCACUUGAAGAAGCCCACAGGGACGGGUGACACUGAGGAAACAAAACCCAGGCCCCCCGGCCUCCGACUGAGCCGUGCAGAGCAUGCUGGGAGAUCACCUCCACCUGAGGAGCACAAAAGACCCCAGGAGUGGAGGAAGCUGGCCUGAGGCCAACCGGAUGUAACAGACUUGCUGGGCCCAAGGAGGGAGGUCUGGUGAUGGAGCCUCGAGUACAUAUCCUUCCAAUCCUAAGAAAAAACACAACAGGAAACUUAAAUGAAUGGCUCAAUGAAAUUGCAAACGUUUGCCCAGAUCAAGACCUAAGAUGUUAUUAGCUCCUUAGAAGUCUCGCUCCUGCCCUCUCUAAAUUGUUAUCCUUCAUCCAUACCUUUCCCCAAAAG